GCCAGAUCUGGCCUUAGUUUUCGUACCCAUGCGCUAGAGCAUGAGACUCUUAAUCUCAAGGACAUGGAUUUGAGCCCCACAUUGGGCA